GUUGAACGCUGGCGGCAGGCCUAACACAUGCAAGUCGAGCGGAGCGGCGGACGGGUGCGUAAGGCCUAGGAAUCUGCCUGGUAGUGGGGGAUAAGGUACGGAAACGGGAGCUAAAACCGCAUACUAUCAGCCGAGCCUUGGUCGGUUUAGCUAGUUGGUGGGGUAAAGGCCUACCAGGGCGACGAUCCGUAACUGGUCUGAGAGGAUGAUCAGUCACCUGGGAACGGAGCCACGGUCCAGCCCCCUACGGGAGUCAGCAGUGGGGAAUAUUGGACAAUGGGCGAAGUCCUGCUGCAGCCAUGCCGCGUGUUUGAAGAAGGUCUUCGGAUUGUAAAGUACUUUAAGUGGGGAGGCGGUACCAGCAGAAUAAGCACCGGCUAACUACGUGCCAGCAGCCGCGGUAAUAC
rnacentral:rRNA from 1 species